rnacentral:lncRNA from 1 species
UUUAGUUGUUAGCAUGUCUCUGAAAUUACUCUGUGUGUGUGUGUGUGUGUGUGUGAAUGUAUAGUUAGCAUUUAUUUGUAUAUAUUCUGAUUCUUCCCAGUAGAAUGUAGAAUCCUUAAGGGGAAAAACUCUGUUUUUGUCUAACCAAACCCAGUGUCUAGCCCAUAGUAUUAUAAGAAUGGUGGACUGAACCUAUGGUUUUCUUGGUAGAGAGGACGUCUAAGCAAGGAAACUCUCUCUACCAAUUCUGGUAGGCACCUUCUACAACUUACAGCCUUAGAAAGUUGGCGAGAGGACCAAGAGGCUAAGCAACCUGCCCAGGGUCACAUGGCCAGGAUGCAUCAGAGGAGAGACUUGAACCCAUUUCAUCUUGGCUUUUGAAGAUACCUUUCUAUCCACUAUGGCUUGCUGCCACAUAGUAGGUACUUAAUAAAUACUAAUGAAACAUGAAUGAAAGACUUGGUGUACAGCAGUAAGUCUCUGUGAAGGAAGAGUUCUAUGAGGGUAUGACUUGGCCAUCAUUGGAAAAAACAUUCUUCAUCUCCUACCCAGCCCUAAGAGGCAUGGGAGCAAGAGUGAAAUAAGAGGACAGUGCAGCAUACAGGAAUGAGGAUUGGUGUAAUAUAUUCCCACUUCGAUGCAAAACGAUGUUCCAAAGGUAGUUCUCCACAGAGUCCCAGUGGGAUCCACCUGACUCCAGGGCUCGGUUCUAACCUUGACUGGUAG